ACUCCGACCGGAGACGGAAGGAGUGCUUUUAUUAGAUCAAAACCAAUCGGUGGCGGGCUUGCUCGUCAUCGUACAACUUGGUGACUCUGAAUAACUUUAUGCUGAUCGCACGGUCUCGCACCGGCGACGCAUCUUUCAAAUGUCUGCCUUAUCAACUGUCGAUGGUAGGUUCUGCGCCUACCAUGGUUGUAACGGGUAACGGGGAAUCAGGGUUCGAUUCCGGAGAGGGAGCCUGAGAAACGGCUACCACAUCCAAGGAAGGCAGCAGGCGCGCAAAUUACCCACUCCCGGCACGGGGAGGUAGUGACGAAAAAUAACGAUACGGGACUCAUCCGAGGCCCCGUAAUCGGAAUGAGUACACUCUAAACCCUUUAACGAGGAUCAAUUGGAGGGCAAGUCUGGUGCCAGCAGCCGCGGUAAUUCCAGCUCCAAUAGCGUAUAUUAAAGUUGUUGCGGUUAAAAAGCUCGUAGUCGAAUCUGUGUCUUGCGCCGCCGGUUCAUCGUUCGCGGUGUUAACUGGCGUGUCGCAGGACGUCCUGCCGGUGGGCUUAGCUCGCAAGGGCGGCCCAACUCAAUCCUGCCGCGGUGCUCUUCACUGAGUGUCGAGGUGGGCCGGCACGUUUACUUUGAACAAAUUAGAGUGCUUAAAGCAGGCUAAAACUUCGCCUGAAUACUGUGUGCAUGGAAUAAUGGAAUAGGACCUCGGUUCUAUUUUGUUGGUUUUCGGAACCCCGAGGUAAUGAUUAAUAGGAACGGAUGGGGGCAUUCGUAUUGCGACGUUAGAGGUGAAAUUCUUGGAUCGUCGCAAGACGGACAGAAGCGAAAGCAUUUGCCAAAAACGCUUUCAUUGAUCAAGAACGAAAGUUAGAGGUUCGAAGGCGAUCAGAUACCGCCCUAGUUCUAACCAUAAACGAUGCCAGCUAGCGAUCCGUCGACGUUCCUCCGAUGACUCGACGGGCAGCUUCCGGGAAACCAAAGCUUUUGGGUUCCGGGGGAAGUAUGGUUGCAAAGCUGAAACUUAAAGGAAUUGACGGAAGGGCACCACCAGGAGUGGAGCCUGCGGCUUAAUUUGACUCAACACGGGAAACCUCACCAGGCCCGGACACCGGAAGGAUUGACAGAUUGAGAGCUCUUUCUUGAUUCGGUGGGUGGUGGUGCAUGGCCGUUCUUAGUUGGUGGAGCGAUUUGUCUGGUUAAUUCCGAUAACGAACGAGACUCUAGCCUGCUAACUAGGCGUAUUUUGACAUCGCAAAGGCCCGCCGGUAUCGGGGUUCGCUCCUUUAUCGUGCGCGGUUUUUACUGUCGGCGUACAAACAAUUCUUCUUAGAGGGACAGGCGGCUUCUAGCCGCACGAGAUUGAGCAAUAACAGGUCUGUGAUGCCCUUAGAUGUUCUGGGCCGCACGCGCGCUACACUGAAGGAAUCAGCGUGUCCUCCCUGGCCGAGUGGCCCGG
rnacentral:rRNA from 1 species